rnacentral:misc_RNA from 1 species
UUGUUACCUUUGAACAUGACCGUGAACAUGUAACAUAAUGCUACCGGGGAGUUCCAUCUCCUCGGCCCUGCUGGCCCCAGCUUAUUGGCUGGGUGUCGGAAAACGGCACGGGAUGUUGCCAAGGAACACUGAUUUGCUGAGGCAGACGACAAUACGCUCGUACUGCUGACGCCAACUUAAC